rnacentral:lncRNA from 1 species
GUCCCCGCCUGCACACCUGCCGCUGUGGGCGCCGCCUCGCUGCCCGUCUACCACAAGUAAGCAUAAACUGAAGGGUUAAAGAACAUAACCCCAAUUUGCGUGACGUUAAGACGUCAUAUUAUUUAAUAACUGAGGCAUCUAAUCCUGAAGUUUGAAGUUUGUGCUGUACUGUUUCAGAUUAUAGUGUACAAUUACAAGCCCAUAUUUGAAGGGUUAUGUCUCUGCCUGAAGAUGGCUGGAUCCAUGGAGGCAGAAAAAUAAGAGUUCCUCAGAUUCCCUAGAAGGCCUGGAGAGUGCUGAUCGCACUGGCACAGCAAGUAAGGGAGAGGUCAGUGAAUCAGUUCAGUAGUCUCAGGUGGCACACAUCUUGUAUAUGUCCCAUUUCUCUAUACAUGUAUCUA